rnacentral:rRNA from 1 species
GAUGAACGCUGGCGGCGUGCCUAAUACAUGCAAGUCGAGCGAACGGACGAGAAGCUUGCUUCUCUGAUGUUAGCGGCGGACGGGUGAGUAACACGUGGAUAACCUACCUAUAAGACUGGGAUAACUUCGGGAAACCGUAGCUAAUACCGGAUAAUAUUUUGAACCGCAUGGUUCAAAAGUGAAAGACGGUCUUGCUGUCACUUAUAGAUGGAUCCGCGCUGCAUUAGCUAGUUGGUAAGGUAACGGCUUACCAAGGCAACGAUGCAUAGCCGACCUGAGAGGGUGAUCGGCCACACUGGAACUGAGACACGGUCCAGACUCCUACGGGAGGCAGCGGUAAGGAAUCUUCCGCAAUGGGCGAAAGCCUGACGGAGCAACGCCGCGUGAGUGAUGAAGGUCUUCGGAUCGUAAAACUCUGUUAUUAGGGAAGAACAUAUGUGUAAGUAACUGUGCACAUCUUGACGGUACCUAAUCAGAAAGCCACGGCUAACUACGUG